rnacentral:lncRNA from 1 species
GGAGGAUCAUCUGCUGUGGGUGUUCCUGAUCUUUGAGCCAUGAUAAUGUUACUGGUUGGAUGUCAGGAGCAGGCCAUGUGGAUGAUUAAAAGAUGAAUAUCAUAUACAGCAUGGAUAUGUUGGACAAAAAGAUGAUUCACAUCCCAGACAGAAUGGAGCAGUUGUUCUUCCAGAUGGCAUGAAUCCAACAGUGAAGAAAUCAGAAUACGUUGCUUUUGUGAGGGGCAGCUGCUGAUUUUCUCUGAGCUCCGUUUCCAGCCUUCACAUGCUCUGCUAUUCAUCACAGGGUAAAUUCUGACUAUAGGAGGUACUGACAGAAGAUUAGGGAAGAACAGAGGGCUAAAUGUUUAUUGACUUCUUGAAAAAUGCUAUGUGUCUUGCCAGACUUAGCUUACAAGUUUGGUUAAAGAGAGACUGACAUGAGCAUAAAGGAAGGGACAUUGAAAGAGGCAGAGAUGAAGGAAGAAAUUGUAACUUACUCCUUUUAUCCCACCCAUCAAAGGAAAGACAAGUUGACAAGUAUUGAUUCUGCAACAAACUGAGAAGAAACCUGGCGAUUCACAACAGAGAGCUGAGAAAUCCUAAGUCUGGAUUCCAGCUAAAUGGGAGCAGACUAAAUAGAGCGGCAGUCGGCGAACUACAUGUAGCCCAUGAACAAAAUCCGGUCCAGCACGUGUGUUUUUUUUUACGGCCCACAAAUGAGUCUGUCUUUACAGAUGAAUGUUAAAACUGGGUUGACAAGAGAGAACACUCACUUUGAACCGCAACUAAACAAAAUAUUAUCACCUUUCCCCUCAAAAAAGGUUUUUGUUCUUCUCAUUAGUAAAUUUGUAUUAUGACAAAAUCAUA